rnacentral:lncRNA from 1 species
UGCUUCUUUUUUAAAGGAUUAAAGUCUUUAUAAGAACCUUCAAAGCUUUGAAUUUUAUGUAUGCUCUAAGAUAUAUCAUAAAUUGCAUGAAUUCAUGUUUUUAGCAUUUAUGCCACAAUAUUUUUACACCAUAAAAGAACUUUGCAAUCAUACUUAAUAUACUGCUCUUAUACUCUGAAAAUUAGUUAAAUUGCUCUCAUGUUGCUAAAAUACUUAAUAUAUUGCGCAAAAGAUCUUAAAUGAACAAGCUUUUAUACUUAUUAUUGAAGAGAGGUUAGAUUUCCAUUCGUGCUUUUCUUGAAUAUCAUUUGUGGUACUUCUUGAAUUAACUUAAGAAAGAUUCCAUCUACACUUGAGUUGAAAACUAUCCUUGGAAUCACAUUCGAUGUGCUCUUAUCAUAAUUUGCUCUGAAAUUAUCCUAAAUGGCUCUGAUCUAUGCUCAUUUAUCUUUUUCUAACAUUAUUGCCUU